rnacentral:rRNA from 1 species
GAUGAACGCUGGCGGCGUGCCUAAUACAUGCAAGUCGAGCGAACAGAUAAGGAGCUUGCUCCUUUGACGUUAGCGGCGGACGGGUGAGUAACACGUGGGUAACCUACCUAUAAGACUGGAAUAACUCCGGGAAACCGGGGCUAAUGCCGGAUAAUAUUUAGAACCGCAUGGUUCUAAAGUGAAAGAUGGUUUUGCUAUCACUUAUAGAUGGACCCGCGCCGUAUUAGCUAGUUGGUGGGGUAAUGGCUUACCAAGGCAACGAUACGUAGCCGACCUGAGAGGGUGAUCGGCCACACUGGAACUGAGACACGGUCCAGACUCCUACGGGAGGCAGCAGUAGGGAAUCUUCCGCAAUGGGCGAAAGCCUGACGGAGCAACGCCGCGUGAGUGAUGAAGGUCUUCGGAUCGUAAAACUCUGUUAUUAGGGAAGAACAAAUGUGUAAGUAACUGUGCACGUCUUGACGGUACCUAAUCAGAAAGCCACGGCUAACUACGUGCCAGCAGCCGCGGUAAUACGUAGG